UACGGGAGGCAGCAGUGGGGAAUUUUGGACAAUGGGCGAAAGCCUGAUCCAGCAAUGCCGCGUGUGUGAAGAAGGCCUUCGGGUUGUAAAGCACUUUUGUCCGGAAAGAAAUCCUUGGCUCUAAUACAGUCGGGGGAUGACGGUACCGGAAGAAUAAGCACCGGCUAACUAC
rnacentral:rRNA from 1 species